AGCGAACGCUGGCGGCAGGCUUAACACAUGCAAGUCGAACGGGCAUCUUCGGAUGUCAGUGGCAGACGGGUGAGUAACACGUGGGAACGUACCCUUCGGUUCGGAAUAACUCAGGGAAACUUGAGCUAAUACCGGAUACGCCCUUUUGGGGAAAGGUUUACUGUCGAAGGAUCGGCCCGCGUCUGAUUAGCUUGUUGGUGGGGUAACGGCCUACCAAGGCGACGAUCAGUAGCUGGUCUGAGAGGAUGAUCAGCCACACUGGGACUGAGACACGGCCCAGACUCCUACGGGAAGCAGCAGUGGGGAAUAUUGGACAAUGGGCGCAAGCCUGAUCCAGCCAUGCCGCGUGAGUGAUGAAGGCCUUAGGGUUGUAAAGCUCUUUUGUCCGGGACGAUAAUGACGGUACCGGAAGAAUAAGCCCCGGCUAACUUCGUG
rnacentral:rRNA from 1 species